rnacentral:lncRNA from 1 species
GUUGGUCGCGUCCUGGAGGCGCUGCCUUGCGUGGGGGCAGGAUAAGAGUCCUGGAGGCGGGCAUUAGGGCGGGGAUAAACGCCAUUGGGUUCAGGAGGCGGGACUCGGAGCAGAGCCCAGGAGACAGGUCCUAGGGCGGGGCUAAGGCCAGACCCAGAGAAGGGCUCAGGAGGCGGGGCCGGGGCAGGGCGUUGACUAUGUCGUACCACAUGGCCAGGCGGUGCGCGGACUCUGGGAGGCGGAACUUAGGACGGGCCCACUUGGGGAGGGGUCCAGGGUCCGGGAGGCGGGGCCGAGUCCGGGCUGCAGGCUGCGCUCAGGAGGCGGGCCCUGGGAGGCGGAGCUUAGGGAGGGGCCGGUGUCGGGAGGGACCCAGGGACUGGGAGGCCGGUCGGGGCUGGGCUCAGGGGCCGAGACCUAGCUGGGCUUGGGGCGGGGCCGAGACGGAGCGAGGGGUCCAGGGCGUGGGAAACGGGGAGGGGUUUGAGGAGGGGAUCGGAAUGUGGCUCAAGUUCGGGAGGCGUUACCUGCGGAGGGUUUGAGGCAGGUCCAGGAGCGAGCCCACGGUCCGCCGACGCGGGACCAGGGGCGGGCCCCAGGAUCCGGAGCUUCGGGCGGGGCCGAGUCCGGGUUUGGGGCCCGGAAGGCGGGGCCAGUUAGGGCGAGGGUCCCUGGGAUCGUCAGGUCAGGCCUUGGGCUAACGUAGGCACUCUCGCAGUUCCUCCGCCUUCAGGAAAGUCUUUUUAGCAGGGGCCUUACGGGUUCGCGCUUUGGUCCUGGAGGCCUUAUCCUAGCCUCCUCUGUAUCAGCGCCACCAGUCUGGGGCCCGAAAGGAGGGAGCUUUCCCUCUGUCCCCCAGCCUUUGGACUGUCACCAAACAAGCCAUUCGUUCACCAAAUACUUAUUAAGCGCCUACCAUGUGCCUGACAAGGGAGAUGUAACGAGUCUCUCUCUCUGCCACCCAGGCCAGAGUGCAGUUGACGCAGGGCAGGGGAGCCCCGAAGUGGAGCAUAGUGUGUCCGGAACUGGUGGGUUCUUGGUCUCCCUGACUUCAAGAAUGAAGCCACGGACCCUCGGGAAAUGAGGCUUCUCCCCAGGACCAGCAUUCCACGAAGGCAGCCCUUUUCUAGAUGGAGAAAACAGAACCUGAAGACACCCGUUUCCCUAAACUGCUCUCGCUCAUGUUUCUACAAGGCCUGGAGCUGAUAGGAAAAACCUCCCUUCUUUCCCAAAUGGUCCCCAGCUGCCCCGUUCACUGAAGGCCCUGCAGUCAGGAACGGUCAGGACUUCACACCCAGUUGUUGUGGGUGUUUGGCCGACACGACACUUCCUCUUGUGUGAUUCAUGGACCCGCAGCAUUGCGUCACCUGGGAGCUUUUGGUAUUGAAGACUCUCAGGGCUCACCCGGAAGGACCUGCUGGGCCAGAAUCUACAUUUUAACAAGAUGCCCAGAAACUCCUGGAGGGCAGAGGCAUGCCUGCCAUCUUCAUCAUUGCAUUACCACCACCCAACACUAUCGGGGGACCUGCCCUGAUAAUCAGGUAGGUUCUUUUCUAUUUUCCUAAGCGUCGACUGGCUUGAGAAAUAAAAGGACAGAGUACAAAAGAGAGAAAUUUUAAAGUUGGGUAUCCGGGGGAGACAACACACAUUGGUAGGAUCCGUGAUGCCCCACAAGCCACAAAAACCAGCAAGUUUUCAUUAGGGAGUUUCAAAAGGGGAGAGAGUAUAUGAAUAGGAGUGGGUGACAGACAUCAAGUACUUAACAGGGUAAUAGAAUAUCACAAGGCAAGUGGAGACAGGGUGAGAUCACAGGACCACAGGAUGGAAGUGAAAUUAAAAUUGCUAAUAAAGUUUUGGCACCAUUGUCAUUGAUAACAUCUUAUGAGGAGACAGGGUUUUGAGAUCAACCCGUCUGACCAAAGUUUAUUAGGUGGGAAUUUUCUCUUCCUAAUAAGCCUGGGAGUGCUGUGGGAGACUGGAGUUUAUUUCACCUCUGCAAUCUCGACCAUAAGUGACAGGUAAGCCCCGGGGGGCCAGUUCAGAGACCUACCCCUAGGUGCGCAUUCUCUUUCUCAGGGACGUUCCAUGCUGAGAAAAGGAAUUCAGUGAUAUUUCUCCCAUUUGCUUUUGAAAGAAGAGAAAUAUGGUUCUGUUCUGCCUGGCUCACCAGCGGUCAGAGUUUAAGGUUAUCUCUCUAAUUCCCUGAACAAUUGCUGUUAUCCUGUUCUUUUUUCAGGGUGCCCACAUUUCAUAUUGCUCAAACACACAUGAUGUACAAUUUGUGUACUUAACGCAAUUAUUACAGGUCCUGAGACGAUAUACAUCCUUCUCGACUGACAGGAUUAAGAGAUUAAAGUAAUGACAGGCAUAGGAAAUCACAAGGGUAUUGAUUGGGGAAGUGAUAAGUGUCCAUGAAAUCUUCACAAUUUAUGUUUAGAGAUUGCAGUAAAGACAGGCAUAAGAAAUUACAAAAGUAUUAAUUUGGGGAACUAAUAAAUGUCCAUAAAAUCUUCAUAAUCCACGUUCUUCUGUCAUGGCUUCAGCCGGUCCCUCUGUUUGGGGUCCCGACUUCCCGCAACAUCUCUCCCUUUCUUUUUAUAUAAAUGUGCCAUGGCGAUGAAGGCUUGUUCAUUCUCUCGAUUUUGACACAGGAUUAUUUGACUGGUACGGCACACUAAAAGCAAGCCGAUGAAGCAGAGAAACAUAAUUCCAGAAUUUACUACAGUGGAGCCCCCAAUAGACUUAAUCCAAGUUCUGGGGUUUAAUCCAUAAAGAUUUUCUGCCACCU